AUUCGAACUUGUAUAAUCACCCAAAGCUUAUUGAGGAACCAUCUAAGCCCAAACCAAUCAAAAUUUCCCAGAAGACUGGAAUUCCCCUGCAUGUCUUGCCUCAGAGAGGUCUUACAGCUAAGCAAGUUGAACGCAUGCAGAUGAUAAAUGACAGUGACCUGCCAAGAGCAGCAACACAGCCACGUUCCAAAAAUGAGACCAGAGAGGAUCGUAAAGCUAGAAAGCAGGCAAUAAAAGAAGAACGAAAGGUAAAAUGUACUCGUUAUUUAAGUGAAACCUUG